UCCGUUGGUGAACCAGCGGAGGGAUCAUUACCGAGUUUACAACUCCCAAACCCAAUGUGAACGUUACCAAACUGUUGCCUCGGCGGGGUCACGCCCCGGGUGCGUCGCAGCCCCGGAACCAGGCGCCCGCCGGAGGAACCAACCAAACUCUUUCUGUAGUCCCCUCGCGGACGUAUUUCUUACAGCUCUGAGCAAAAAUUCAAAAUGAAUCAAAACUUUCAACAACGGAUCUCUUGGUUCUGGCAUCGAUGAAGAACGCAGCGAAAUGCGAUAAGUAAUGUGAAUUGCAGAAUUCAGUGAAUCAUCGAAUCUUUGAACGCACAUUGCGCCCGCCAGUAUUCUGGCGGGCAUGCCUGUCCGAGCGUCAUUUCAACCCUCGAACCCCUCCGGGGGAUCGGCGUUGGGGAUCGGGACCCCUCACACGGGUGCCGGCCCCGAAAUACAGUGGCGGUCUCGCCGCAGCCUCUCCUGCGCAGUAGUUUGCACAACUCGCACCGGGAGCGCGGCGCGUCCACUUCCGUAAAACACCCAACUUUCUGAAAUGUUGACCUCGGAUCAGGUAGGAAUACCCGCUGAACUUAA
rnacentral:rRNA from 1 species